CUUAAAUGAAGUUGACGGGGCCCGCACAAGCGGUGAGCAUGUGGUUUAAUUCGAUGAUACGCGAGGAACCUUACCUGGGCUCAAAUGUAUGUUGACGUAUUCUGAAAGGGAUACUUCUUCGGACAAUAUACAAGGUGCUGCAUGGUUGUCGUCAGCUCGUGCCGUGAGGUGUCGGGUUAAGUCCCAUAACGAGCGCAACCCCUAUCAUUAGUUGCCAUCAGGUCAAGCUGGGGACUCUAAUGAAACUGCCUACGCAAGUAGUGAGGAAGGUGGGGAUGACGUCAAGUCAUCAUGGCCCUUACGGCCUGGGCUACACACGUGCUACAAUGGUCGGUACAAAGGGUUGCCAAGCCGCGAGGUGGAGCUAAUCCCAUAAAACCGAUCGUAGUCCGGAUCGCAGUCUGCAACUCGACUGCGUGAAGUCGGAAUCGCUAGUAAUCGUGAAUCAGAAUGUCACGGUGAAUACGUUCCCGGGCCUU
rnacentral:rRNA from 1 species